rnacentral:rRNA from 1 species
UAGGGAAUCUUCCGCAAUGGACGCAAGUCUGACGGAGCAACGCCGCGUGAGUGAAGAAGGAUUUCGGUUCGUAAAACUCUGUUGUUAGAGAAGAACAGCGCAUAGAGUAACUGUUAUGCGUGUGACGGUAUCUAACCAGAAAGCCACGGCUAACUACGUGCCAGCAGCCGCGGUAAUACGUAGGUGGCAAGCGUUGUCCGGAUUUAUUGGGCGUAAAGCGAGCGCAGGCGGUCAAUUAAGUCUGAUGUGAAAGCCCCCGGCUCAACCGGGGAGGGUCAUUGGAAACUGGUUGACUUGAGUGCAGAAGAGGAGAGUGGAAUUCCAUGUGUAGCGGUGAAAUGCGUAGAUAUUAAAAAGAAUACCGGUGGCGAAGGCGACUUGCUGGGCACAAUCUGACGCUGAGGAACGAAAGCGUGGGGAGCAAACAGG